rnacentral:misc_RNA from 1 species
GUUUUUUUCUUCUCUUAGAUUUGCUUCGAUUCUCAGAGCUGACCCUUUGAUUCGAUUGAUUUGCGCUUGGGGCAUUUUUUUCCUUUUAGUUCUUCUUCAAGUUCUACUUCAUUUGUUUUUCGAUUUAGAUCUGUUUCUUCUAAUUUUUGCUUCUGUUUGCCUUCUGCAAUUGUGUUUGUGGUUGUGCUUUGAUUUUUUGUUUCGUUUGUGACUCCAUUUCUGUUUUUGUUCUUGUUUAGAGCGCUUUUUAUUCCUCUCCCCCUCCUUUGAUGUGUACUGUCGAGGUUUAGAGGCAUAAUUCUUAACGUUUUAGUCGGUUUCAUCAGGGCUUAUGAUUUUGUCUGUCUUAUUUUCAUGUAAGAGAGAAAAGAAACUAUAUGCAUGUAUGCUUGUGGAUUCUGGCGAAGUGCUGAUUUUUUUUCUGGGUCUUUUUCUCUUCAUUGGAUGUGUUAUAGUAAGUCCGUGAGAAUUACUUUUGGAAACGAUGUGCUUUUGUACUAUGCUAUUUCCCUAUUCUAUUUCCUGUUUCAUGGAAGAGAUUAACCUGUUUUAGUUCAGAUCUUUACACGUGGCUUGAUGUUGUUUCAUUAUGCCUUAAAAAAAGUGAUGUCUUUAAUGUUGGGAUAGAGAUAAUGGAAGUAAUGAAGGUUUAUUUUGGGGUGAACAGAAGAAUUGUGCUUAUUUGAUAUUUGUACUUGCGAAUUUGAUUCUCGGUUUUGAUAAUAUUCCUUCUGAUUUUUUUUUUUUUUCUCAAAGAUACUCCUGAUUUUGCGUCGGCUUGACAAAGCUUUUGUCUUUUUCAGUCGUCAUCCUGAGGUGAAGUGGUGAGAUAAUGGAAGUAAUG